GAGGGACUGAGGAAAGAAGAAGAACAUACACAAAGAUUGUUAUGAUCACGAAAGCUCUUAGAUUAGAGUAGAUCACUACACUUUGACAGUCUUCAACAAGGAUUGAUACCAGUCUUACUUAUUUAUUAUAGGUUAUGAAGAAAAAUUGUCAAGGUACCAACUAUUGCAUGGUAAUAGUAAAUGGGUUCGUUCACAAAUUAUUGUUGGAUUCAUCAAACUUUGUAUAUGUUAUUCAAUCUUUUUAUAAUAUCUAAGCGACCAAAAAGGAAAAUAUCGAACCAAAUCCGAGACGAAGUCCCAAAUAAUCAUUUUGGAUGCAGUUUGAUUUUAUAAAUUGAUUAUCUUUUUAACAUUUUGUGUCCAAUAAACACAAUAAUAAAAGCCAAUUGUAAAAAUGCUCUAAAUGUCGAACAUAGUUUGCCUGUCUUUAAAAACAUUGGAUCAUUUCUUUAAUAAUAUUAAAUAAAUUUUACAGUUAAAUCGUUGAAAAAA
rnacentral:lncRNA from 1 species